UUAACGAUUUGGGGGUGUUCAGACGACGGGUUACGGAGUGUGUUGGGGCCUUCGGCAGGCGCACGCCAGGCGGACCCGGUGGCUCGGGGAGACGGCCUGCCAAGGCAACGGGGGUAGGGUAGGCAAGGGUGGAGUUCUACCCCGGGGGGGGGCACGAGCUCGGUAAUGAUCCUUCCGCAGGUUCACCUACGGAAA
rnacentral:misc_RNA from 1 species